AGUGGGGAAUAUUGGACAAUGGGCGAAAGCCUGAUCCAGCCAUGCCGCGUGUGUGAAGAAGGUCUUCGGAUUGUAAAGCACUUUAAGUUGGGAGGAAGGGCAGUAAGCGAAUACCUUGCUGUUUUGACGUUACCAACAGAAUAAGCACCGGCUAACUCUGUGCCAGCAGCCGCGGUAAUACAGAGGGUGCGAGCGUUAAUCGGAAUUACUGGGCGUAAAGCGCGCGUAGGUGGUUCGUUAAGUUGGAUGUGAAAGCCCCGGGCUCAACCUGGGAACUGCAUCCAAAACUGGCGAGCUAGAGUAUGGCAGAGGGUGGUGGAAUUUCCUGUGUAGCGGUGAAAUGCGUAGAUAUAGGAAGGAACACCAGUGGCGAAGGCGACCACCUGGGCUAAUACUGACACUGAGGUGCGAAAGCGUGGGGAGCAAA
rnacentral:rRNA from 1 species